ensembl:lncRNA
ACUCACACACACACACAGUGUCUUGCUGACACACACACAACCCUAGUGACGUGCUCUACACCAUCACCCCAUACAACCCAACCCAACCCAACACACACACAGAGAGUCAGAUUUAUUUGGUUGCUAAUCAAUAUAUGCAUCAGGCCCUCUCGUGCUCGGCUCUGUUGUUGUGCAGUGCCUGGAAGACCCUUCUGUGUAGCACAAAGCCAGGAUUACAGGGGAGACAGCAGGAUCAUGAGAGCGUGCGAGUUCUGCCUUGGGCUUCGGCUAUGAAGCAGCUCGGGGAGGAGAGGCAAGGCAGAGGAUUACAUUUGACUCCAUUGCAGUCGGGAGACUCAGUCCCUCCAGCAGCUGCACGGGCUGAUGGAGUCUGCCUCCCUGCCCCAGCGGUUCCACAGACAUGCAGCUGAGACAUUAACAGAUUGUUGCGUGCGACCCAGGGGCACCUUGAGAUGCUGACAGUGAUGACACCUGAUGACACUUGAUGGGAGAAGCCUGGGGCCCGUGGCAGGGCCAGGGCCUGAGUGCCACUCUUGCAGAUUGGAUAUCAGCUUGCAGUGUCAGUCCUUCCCAGCAAGGGUCCAUCAAAGUGAGAAGCCAGCAUCUCCCAGCUCUGUGAUCACGGAUACAUGCCUUGCAGGGUACUUUCACUCAAACCAUCAUUUCACAAUUUCUUCUGAAGGCGAAAUUUGAAGAGUAGAUGUUGAUUGAAUCCAAUAAUGGCGGAAACCUAUGAAAUGAAGUUCCCAAUAAAACCUUUUUUU